GCGAAACCCUGACACCGCCGUCGCCGACGAUGGAAUCAUCUCCGUCCGAACACGGCGGAGCCACCGCCGGAGGCGGAAAGAAGCACAAGGGAAAGCACGACAAGCCGAAGCCGUGGGACGACGAUCCCAACAUCGACCGAUGGAGGAUCGAGAAGUUCGACCCGUCGUGGAACGAGGGUGGCAUGCUCGAAGUCAGCUCCUUCUCUACCCUCUUCCCGCAAUACCGAGAAAAAUACUUGCAAGAAGCGUGGCCAAUAGUGAAAAGGGCAUUGAAGGAG
rnacentral:misc_RNA from 1 species